rnacentral:lncRNA from 1 species
AUGCACAGGCAAUCCAUCCUGGAUCCCUACACAGGACUCAGUGCAUGGAAAUCACACCAGCAAACCAGCAAAGGUGAGGAAAAGCCUUUGGGUAAAUAGCACACUGAGAGAAGCAGAGUCUGGAUUCUGCACAGAAGGCUUUCCCAAGGGGGGCCCCUCAUGGGAAACUCGAGCCCUCCAUACAGCUCAAUGCAAGCAGGAUUCUCCUAGGCACGGGAAAAUCCCCCAGGAAUCAGAUCCGGCAAAACUUCCUGGUGGCUUGCUGGGCUCCAAGGCUGCAUCAUCUCUUAGCGGAUUCCGAGAAGGGCAGCAGGGCUGACGCGAGUGCCCGGCACUGCUCUAUCCUGGAGAUGAGUGUUAGACCAAGCGCCCGCCCGAGAAUCACACUUCAGCUCUCGCUCUUGUUUCUGAAUUCUGAUCUGCUGCUCCGCUCUACUCAUAAGAUUUCCUUUGCCAAAGUACCCCCCUUUUGCUGCCUUCUCUUUACUGCUAACAACUCUGAGUAAGCACAACACAAUAAAACUACCCGGCCCAUCUAUCAAAGGACUGUCGUUCGGCUGCCAGAACAGCGGCUUUGGGUAAUAAAAAGCUAUUUAUUAUGAGCUUGAUUCCCGGGAGCCUCAAUGACUAGAAGGAUGUGAAGGAAAGCAAUGGUGCACGCGGUGCUGCAUACAUCACAGUUGAAUUCACUUGCGAUUACAAGGGCGGCUGCUUACAAAUGACUAACAGCUGGAUAAGGAAAAGCUGGCCAGGUACAGAAAGAGGCUGCAGAUUUUGACGCUUGACUUGGAAAAACAUUCAAUUUCCCCUUCCACUUGCGCAGCCAUACGUGUGGUCUACCGCAUACACCAGUAAGCAAACGACGGAGUAUUUGAACAAGAAAGUAUAUUAUAAAAUCGAGGUGGGAGGAAGCUUCAAUGUGUUUACCAAAAGUUCUACAUUGCGAGAAAAGGGGAGAGAGAGAGAGAGAGAAAUGAGCUUGUUCCCAAACUUUUCUCUCCUGCCUGGUUGUCUACAGGCACUUAUUACGUGGGCGGAGCUUUGUGCGCCCUUCUGCAGCAUUUUAACAACCAAAUGAUUAACCCUCCCCUUCCCGCAAGUACCCCCCUUUCUCCUAGUGAAGCUGCUUGGGGUACUUGACAAGCAUCACUCUCUGGAUAAUUUACUCCACUCCACCCCCAUCCCCAUCCCCACCCCCUGGGAAGAAACCACCUAAGGCAGGGGAGCUCAGAGAAAUGGGGUAAGGGCUCCAAGGGUGGGAGGAGGCAGACAGAGAGGAGACAGCAAAGAGCAAGCUGGACUCAAAAAGAGGAAGAAAGUAUUUGGUGGAUCAGUAAGAAUGGUACACACACACACACACACACACACACACACACACACACACACACACACCUUUCACUAGAAACAAAACUAGUCACCUGGACCUCCAGCCACAUUGAAAAGAAAUGUCUAGAGACCCAUACAUUUCAACUUACUGGUCAAGAUAUUUUGCGUCUUUAUCCCUCAUUACCAACCCUCUUUUUUUUUUUUUUUAACAAGGUGCACUUCAAUAAGAGUCUUAAGACUUCUUCCUACCUUUCAUGAAUUAUUCAAGUUCAAACCUCAAUAACCUCCCAAUUGCUAAAUAGAUGAAUGUGUCAGGAACUGACAUGUCAUUAUUCUCUCAAAAUGGGAGUGCGCUUUUAAAGAUUCUUUUUCCUUAGUUCAUAGCAAAUCAGAUAUGUGUUAGGGGUGGGGGGUGGGGGGAGGGAUGAAAAGAAACACCUGACUUUCAAUUCAAUAUAACCUUUUAAAGUGACUCAAAAGUAUUUUAUGGUUAGAAAUAAUUUUCUCUGAACUCUUACCCUACAGGUAUAAUAAACUUCAGAUGAUUUCCACAUUAAGCAAUACAAAUAAAACCUAUUCUGUGGUCUAUUCAAUUGGGUAACUAUCUUACAGUUCAAUGAUAUGAAAAGGUUACAGGAGCAUCAUUUUACAUCUCGAUCUCCUCGUUUGCUAGCUCCUUUCAGUGGUUAAUUUAGCUUCAUAUGCCCUAAGCUUAUCCUCGAGGAGGAAAGCAUGUCCUUGAGCAUCCCUGGGUACCAGAGCGCUUCCCCAGUGCAGGUGGAUCACCUAAUAUGUAUGUAAUUCUGAUUGUCAUUCAUGUUGGAAACAGUCAGCUUUGCUUCCCCUAGCGCUUUAAGGAUGACAAAAGACACGUUUUAACAAAUUUCCAAAGAACUGUGUAGCUAACUUCCAUGCUAACAAUAAAGAUCAUGUCUCU